rnacentral:tRNA from 1 species
AACGGUAGAGCAGCUGACUUGUAAUCAGCAGGUUGUAGGUUCGAUUCCUAUCACCA